rnacentral:ncRNA from 1 species
AACCACGGACGACCGUGGUGCAGACGACUACCGGCGGGACGGCCCGC